AGCCACAGGAGCCAAAUCCCAAAGUUGGGAUGGAUGUCCACUUUUAAUAAGAAGGAGAAAACAAAGGAGGAAGGAGGAUUGUCACAGGUUUUUAGUCUCAAAUGCUUUCUAAACUGAUCAAACUGCUUGGAAUGACUUGAAGUCAUCCUACUGAGAAUCUGGAAUCUAACUUAAAGUGAUCCUACUGAGCAAAUUUUCCAGAACCAGAGUCCUCAGAUUGGCAUUCUGGAUCUGCUUCCCCUUUCAUUUUGGAGAGACCAAAACCUGUGAGAUUCUGCUCCACAUUCACUUUUCCAAGCUGAGAGAAGAGUGAAUUCUGCUGUGGAAUUCUGAUUGUGGAUUCCUGAUGCCUCUGUUCCAGCACACCUAUUUUCCAGCUUGGCUCUGGCUUCAUCCUUCCUCUGACUGACCCACAGUUGGGCUGGUAGCGGCCCAAGGACACUCAGCAGUGCCAAAUACACAUUUCAGGGAGCCUCUAAUGAAUCCCCACUGAAAUUUCAUCAACUGUGCAAAGUAGAUUGAUUAAAUGCUACUUGCCACACAGUGCCCUCUCUCCCAUCUGCAGUGGAUUUGUGGCACUGAGAUGUCCAAGGGCAGCUGCUGGAUCACACCCUGAGGAUUCCUGCUGAGCUUCUGUUGUGGAAGAGCUGGCAUAGACAGGAAGAAAAGCUGCUUUUAAGGUAUGGUAAGAUAAAAGAGAGCAGCAGCAGCUCUGUGAAAAGCUCUAGGACUGACUGUACACAUAUUAUGUCUCGAUGCUCAUUUUUAUUUUAGGCAUUCCUUAGAAUGGGCCUCUUUUUAUGAGAUAAUUUCUUAUUAAAUUUGGUCUUUGAUCUCCAAGUGGAGGUUUGGGCACAAGUACAAUUUAAAAUUAUUUCUUAACAGCAGAAAUUAUAAUAGUAGUUGUGUUGCCUUCUUUAAAGUAAGUUUUGUCUCUGCUAGUGAAUAUCUGCAAUUUGUGCUAUUGUUCCUCAAAUGAAAGCGUGGGGGUUUUUUUACAAUGAAGAAUACUAUCAUAGAUUUGUAGAGCUCUUUGGGUAAAUAAACCUCCUUUAAUGUCCUUAGCCUUUCACUUGGACAUUUAUUCACUAUGGAUCUAAUAAUUGUGAUGAAAUCCAUAAAAUAUUUUAGUCUUUAAACUGACAGUGUGGCCAACAUAACACAGCUGGCCUUUUUGCUUCUUUCACACCCAUUUUGGGACAGGUAGGGUGGCCGAAUGACCCUGCCACAGCCAACUGUCCUGAUGUCCCUAAGGGCAGUGAUGCAAUGAUCUCACUUUCUUUGUCCAGCUGCAAAUUUUUAGAAGGUUUGGGAAGAUUUAUCUUCUGAUGGGGGCUACGAAUUUUCAUUUCCAUCAAAAUUUAUCCAAACAAAAUGAACACAAGUCACUUUUAAACACAGAAGUUUGGGGUUUAUUUUUUUUAACUGCAUAACUGCAGCUGCUUUCUUCCUGAGAACCUGGCUUAGCACGUGGUGUGAAAUAUUGCUACAUGCAUUUCAGUAACUCAAAAGCCCAAAUAUUGUUGCUGUGUAGCAGAAGUGAUGAGGUUCUUGAGAAUAUGAGUGGUGAGCAGUUACUCAGAUUAAUAACAGGGUGUCUGCAGUCCACUAAAGAGCAUUGGCAAUCACUCAGACACCUGAGCACUGCACAGGGGGGACAUUCACAGCAGAAAACAUUCAAAUAUAUUGCUGAAAAUACAUGACAUUUCUAAAUGUUAUGUAUUUUGUGACUAAAUGAAGCUCAGAGUCAUGCUUGGUCUACUCAGGAUCUAACUAACAAAGAAGAUUAAAUGUGAGUGGGAGAUGCAUGACUUGAGAUCUAAUCAGUGGGAACACACACAGCAAAAUGAACAAGAAACUGAUGAAAUGUGUAAAAAGAGGGAUUGGGAAGUGGGUUUUGAGCUCUGAGCAUGUUGCUGGGCUCUCUCUGUGCAGUGUGGCACUCCCUGCUCUGCCCCACUAAAGGGGGUGGGUGACAAAUCCUGUGCCUGGACACACCUGAGCCAGACACUUUGGCCUUUGGAAUCAGGAUUUGUUCCAGGGACUGCAGAAGGGAGGAAAGGGUCCAAACCCACAUUUCGCAGUCAGCCCAGGUUCAAUUCAGUGGCCUUCCUGCAUUUGCAGUUCCCUGUAUCUCAAUAGAUAGUAGUUAUAGUUUUAAUUAUCUGCAACCAGAUAAUUAAAGCUGAUGGGCAUCUUGAUAGGAACAACUUGUCAUGGCACAAGGCUUCAUAAAGUUGACAGUGGCUCUCUAGGCAGCAACUGCUUUUGAUGUGAUCUCCAAACUGUUUAAGGUGUGUUUGAAAUAUUAAAAUAGAAAUGGCUGCUUUAUUUCCUGGCUGGCUCAAGCUUGAGCAUUGGGUCACAUCAAAACGUAUUUUUAAUGAUCAGUGCUAGCGGGGGUGCUGAGGGAUGAUGUAGGAAAAGGGAGAUUAGGACUAAAUUGGCUUCUCUUUAGAAUGCUGGGAAGAGAAGGGCAAACAGGAGCUAUCAGGGAGUGGCAAUGAUAAUGUUCCAUAAUCACUUUUCUGUGUAUUUCCAUCAGAAUCAGAAACAAAAUGACUUCAUUGACGCUAAACAGAUAAUCCAGCCUUCAUGCCUGGAUUAUUAUAAACAAUAUUUAUAAGAAAUAUAAUAAUAAAAAAUAUAUAUGUGUAAAAACUAAUAUUAUUCACAAUGUCUGGUUAGACUUCAGACCAUUGUGUCCAAGUUUGAAAUUAUUGCCCUUAACUGACCAUGAUUUCUUUCAUCCAACAGCUUGGCAAAUGAUACAAUGGCAAGUUUUGGAUAAUCAAAUAAAUAGAUAUAAAUUAAAGCCCAGUAUUUCUCCAUUCCACUGUUCCAAAAGACCUUUAACAAAAACAUUUUCAAGGGAAUUAUAACUUUCUUUGUGUUAUGAGUAAUGCAAUAUUAAGCAUAUACCUCAGCUCUUGAAUUAUGGUUUAUCUUUGAUAUUAGUGAUCAAAUACUCGUUGUCUUGAUUAUUUAAAUAAUUAGAUAUUUUAUCAGUUUCCUUGAAAAGCUCAGAAUAAAGAGCAAAACCCCUUGAAGGGCUAUUCAAUAUUUAGUUUACUGCCAGCAGAAUAAUCAUCAGGCAGGAGGAUGCUGCAACAGGGGAAAAAAUGUUGCAGAAAGUUCCAGAUUUUCAACAUGAAAAUCUUUACCACCUUUGCUGUGUUAUAGUUACUUCUUGCAAAAAAAAAAAAAAAAAAAUCAAAAACUGGAGGCCUCAGAUCCACACCUGAGGAUAUCACAACUGCAGGAGCAUUAAAGGAAGCAGAGCCAUCCCUUACCCAGCUGAAGGUUCUGCUCAAGCAUCCAUUCUGCUUUGACUUAAGUGGUGUUUAAAGACAAUAACAUGAGGAAACUCUUCAUUUCACCCUUGCAGAAGAGGUGAUGCAAAGCUUCUAUUUUUAUGCACGAAAAUAGAAUUAAAGAGCAUAUAUAAAUAGAACUGGAGAUGUAAAUUCCUCUGUUUUUUUAUGAACAUCAAAUAGUGGCACCAAUGAAAUUCCAAUGUUUUUAAGGUUAUAAUUUACCAGUGGCAUGAAAAGAAAAAUUAGUAUUUAGAUCUUUGUUAUGCUUAAUCAUUUCAAGCUUUCUGACUGCUGUGAGGAUGUCAUGGAACAUUAGAAUAAAAUCAACUCGAUGCUCAUGCAUAAUGUGUGAGAAGUUUUUUGUCUGCAAUAAUUUCUACUCUUUCCUACUAAUUGUCAUCAGCAGAGGAUGCAGGCUGCAGUUGUCUUGCUAAAUACAAAUAUAGCUACAGUAUUUUUUGUUCAAUUUAUUCAUUUAUCUCGCCCUGGGUGUAUACACCAUGUAAAAUGUAUUUCUACAGAAAGAUAAAGAGAGUAUUCCAGUGUGUGUGCACUGCAGAAAUGAGAGGUAUAGAAUUUAUAAGUGCUUUUUAUUUUUAUUGAGAGACAAAAUAUAAGAGUGAUUGCCAUCACUUUCUGCCACAGAUUUUGGUUAUGGCUUCAUGCUCCAGAUGCUUAUGGAAGCAUGCAGAAAUAUAGUCUCAAAAAAAGUCAGAUGUGGCUUGACAUAAAUAUUAAUUAUUUUACAAUUUAAAUCUUUUAAAGUAUUAUCUAUUAAAAAAGAGUUCACCACAAAUCCUCCAUAAUAAAACACUGUUAUUCCCAUAAAUGGCUGUAAGUAACAUGUUAUCUACAUAAUUUCAUAAUGAGAUUAAAUGUUUGAUUUCACCAUCCUGAACUACCCCAUUGCAAUGAACAAUACAAAGAGCUACAAACACAAUGUUGGGGGUUUUUUUUAAGUGUUUGAGGUGCUUUUAUGAACAUAUGAAUAGUUCGUAAUUUCUGAAGAAAAAUAUGUGCUUUUCCAAAAUCAAGCACUACAUUUGCAAGAGGCUUUUCCUUUUCUUUCAUUCUGGAUCAGAAAUAGAAAGAUUGCAGAUGUUACUAAGUAGUCAAGGAGAAAAAGGAUGACUGGGAGCAUUAUAAGCAGGUAAGUGUUUUCAUUUUCAUUUUGGUUUUGCUACCCUUCAAACUAAGACAUGACUUCACUGUUUUCUUUCCUUCAAGAAUGAGUCACAGCAAGGUUUUACAGAGAAGCUUGCAGUAGUGAAUAUGAGCAAGAAAUAGAGAUGCAGAAAUAUUCUAUUUGAAAGCAGGCAAUUAAACACGUAACUUUUUAAAUGGGGAGAUGUGAGUUAGCAGAUUCCUAAGCAGAAAUUCUAUAUAUUUUUGUAUUACUUCACACAAUAAGAUGUAACCUUUAUAGUUCUCCAAGUGUUUAGAAAGCUGGAUGCAUAGUUCUAGAACAGACUUUGUCCUAGAGAAACUGCUGGGCACAGCUUUUAUAUUGUUGUAUUAAUGCAUUUUAUUUACUAUGAAAUGUUCACAUUAUUGAAUCCCAUUUUUCUCACAGCUGGUCAUACUGUGGAAAGCAAACCAUCCAGUUUAAAUAAAUAAAACAAUACCAUUGUGCUGGUAAGUCAGAAGAUAGCAAUUCUGUGUAAUGGAAAUGCAAAUACAAAUGCAAUUUUUAUUUCAUGGAUAAAUGGAACCUGCAAAAAGGUGGUGCAAUGUUUUUCCCCUCUUUUUUUCAUCUCAUCAUUAGGUCACACACUAAUCCAUCCUUCAUUCACCAUAUUCCAUAUGUUUUGGUGCACUUCAAAAGUUUAUGAACAUUUCUCUUCUGAUCUAGUAGCUUGGUGAGCAAAGGUUGAGGGAUUGAAUUACACAAGGUCUCCAAGUUAUUUCACAGGCACAUCCUCUUCACUGAAGAUUACUUGAGAUAAUAGCUGUUUGCCUGUGGGUCUCUUUUUCAUGUUGGAGAGUAUUCUCAGCACAACAACUUUAUAGGCUGCUCUCAGCACUCCAAACAAUAAGCUACUUACUCUCUCUGUCCUCCCUCUAUUUUUGCACUCAUUAAUUUAAGAACAAAUGUGAUAAGAGUCUUAAAUUUCCAAUAAACAUUCCUAUAUUCCUUUAAGUGGUCUAAAAGAUGGUGAAUAUUUUGCUAAUAUUAUUUCUUUUGUUGUUGUUGUUGUUGUUUUUCCUACAAACACGAUGAAGUGUAGAAACGUCUGGUGUUACGAGUCAGGAUUGCAAAGUUAAAGGUAAUUACAGUAUAAUUAGUGAGGGGCAGGAACUGAAGGCUCUGCUGGGCAGAUUCUGAACCACAGUGCAAUGCAGAAUAAGGAACUGAAAGCCUGGGUUUAAUGGUUUUCACAUGAAUCCUCCUUUAGUACUUCUAAUAUGGGCAUUGUCCUUGCAGAGAGGGGCAGAACAUUCCCCACCUCAUCGGUGGUCCGCAGCUCUCAGAGAUGUGGGAGACUCACUUGGAGCAGCAGCUGCUUUUCUUGGUGCUUAUCCAAGGCAACUGGAGCUGUGAAGCUUUUGAGGAUCACCUUUCACAUUAAAUCUGUUUUCUUCAGGAAAUAAAUUCUCACUUCAACUUGGCCUGUGCUAUAUAAGUACACAAAUCAAGAAACAUUUCUGAUUGAAAGGGCACAUAGAGAUUGCUCCAGGCUACUAAUACCAUCCUUGUGUGAAACAAAGAGAGAUAACCAAGAGGGGGCUCAAAAGUGAUAAUACACACACAAAAAAGUGCUAUUUUUUCCAAAACAGUACACUUUCAUCACCACUAGCUCAGAGAAAUUGUGUUUUCUUUAUAUUUUAGUGACACUUACAAGGAUUCCUGCUAAACGAUUUGAAAGCAGAAUUCAGUACCUGUGUUAAAGCUACAGGAUUUGAAAAUAAGCUGAUGAAGAGCUCAAAGAUCUGGAUGAGACUGGAAAAUAUUCUUAUUUCAAUGCAAAAUUAAUGCUGCAAUGUAAGAAAAAAUUUCAAACUAUCUUCUAACCAAGGAGUUUUAUGCUCCUAUACUCAAUAUCUUUGAAUCUGAACUUCAUUUUAUCUUCUAGCUAUUCAAUUCCCGUCUAAAGGACAGAAAAACUUUCCAUUCAUUUCAGUGUGGACUAAGUGAGGUGUCAUGGACAAGGUGAAAAAGAUAAAUGAGCAUUUACAGAAUCAGAUAUGAGCAUUCCUGAGUCACAAAGGGAUUAUAUGGUAAUAUCUAGCUCCCAAUGGGAAUGCUGAGUGCCUGGAGAAUGAUUUUCAUGAGGAUGUGUCCUACCUUCCAUAUGGGACUGUCCCCUCUGAGGUCAUAAUUGUGUAAACACAGCCACAGCUGCCUUACACAAACUCUCCCUCAGCAAGACAGUGAUGAAAUGGCACCCCAGAAAGUGGGGUACCCCAGUGUGGGCUGACUUCUGCACUGCAGAAUAAAGCCUGAACCAUUUCUACAUCCUCUUGGCCCAGGAGAAUAUCUACAUAUCUGAAAGAUCAUUUUCAAAUUCAAUUUGUCCUCUAGAUUCUAUAAAGGUAUUUCUUUAAUUCGGCAUGGUAGAACCAACUAUGUAAUAAGGCACUUCUCCUUUCAUAGUUUCUAAAUAAUACUAUCCUGAGCUAGAGGUGAAAAGGUCAUGAUCUGCAGGAGAUAAGGGUAGCAGAUUGUCCAGUAAUAUGGAUCAUUUUUCUUGCCUGUCUGGAAUUUUUAUUGCAAUGCUAGAUCCUCCACAGAGCAAAGAAAAUGACAGGGAAAGCAUCGACAGCAUUCUCCAGUGCCUGCUGAGGUCCUUAGCCUUUAAAUAUUUCAGGCAGCAUCUCUGAUUCAGAAUGAAAAUGGACAAAUGAAAACAUGAACUGAGUUCUUCAGGAAGGGAGUUGCGGGAAGAGCCAGAGAUGAGAUUUAUCAGGGUAUGGAAUAGGUUUCUAGUGGAAAGUUAUGGCAAAUUAGCCUGAAUAUAGUACUCAGAUAUAUGGCAGGAAGCAAUUCCAGAGAGUUAUGGCAAUAAGCAAAGUAGCCUGCAGGUCUUUUUCAUCUGGACAGUUUGGGAAUGAGUCUGUGAUUGGUUUCCCUCAUGGCACAGUCUGCAGCUGGUAAGCAAGGAGGGGAAAAAAGUCAAUAUUAUUUUUUUUUUAAGUGUUCCCAUUAUUUUGCUCUUUGGCCAGUACUCAUUACUGUGUAAGUCAAGUUUUCCACUUAUUCUAUAGCACCCUGGAAACAACUUUGAUUGUCGAAACAACCAAUAGCCUCUUGGAGAAGGUGUCAGGAAAGUAGGGCAGAAUCAGGAGGGAAAGAUCAAAACUGCUCAUCUCAUCACUCCCCCCCGCCCCCAUUAUAAGAGCACUCAGCUCAAGAGGACAUUUUUUUUUCAGGCCAUGUUCAAUCUGCUGCAGUUUCAAAAGUCUCAAGUGAUAGGGAAUAUUUUCUCACCAUUUACUGGGAUGUUGGAGUGUGUCAGCUCCAACUACUAAAUAUCUGGUUUGAUGGCGACAUUUGCAAGUCUCCUGCACCACUGACCUCAGUGCACAAGUUAACAGCUCACAUCCCAAAGUCAGUUCCUUAAUUAGCUUGUCCUUCCUCCAGAGAUUUCUCAGGAAUUCUUCUGAUGAUGCCCCAGACAGAUGUGGUACACCAGUGAAGCAGCUUUUGCCUUCAACAGGAAUUUCUGAAACAGGAAUUUCUGUGUUCCUGAGGGCACCUGACGUGGCAGGAGGAGGUGACUCAGCUGCGGUUUCAGAGCCUGUUCGUCCAACCCCCACAAGGUUUUCCUAAAAAUGCAUUUGCUUGACUGCUAUCCAACAUUUUCAUCACACAUUCAACAGAAAGAAAGAAGCAAAAUCUUCCCUCGAAUAAUGUUCUGUAUUAUUGAAGGCAGUUUGGGGAAAAGAUCUUGUAUCUAGGACAGGGUAGAAUAUAAAUUAACAUGGAAAAGACAAGAGGAAGUUUUACACAGUGUAUGGAAUCCAGGAUUUUUUUCAUAAUUAAAUUCUUGCUUCUUAAAGAGAGAUGGGCUCUUUCUGCUUCUUCACAGAUUUCCCACUGAAAUUUUUUUAUUAGCAGUCACAAGACAGGGAGAGAAAAGACCAGAAGAUCCUCUGGCUCUUUAAUUGUACCUAUUCUUCUGUCUCCUUCAUGAAAUUAUUAUUAUAGGCAACAAAUAAAUAUAAGCUUCACACUUAUGGAAUGAUACCUUCUUUACAUGCAGAAAUUAAUUAUAAAUCCUUCCAAAGUAAAUCCUUAUAUCUCAUCAAAUUGCUGUAUUAAAAAAUCAUCACAAAAAUAUCUUUCCAUGUGAGACUCUCAAAUAUAUGAAAUGUAAAUUAAGUCUCAGAAAGCACCCUGAAUGAAUGCAUUAGGCCCAUUCUGUGGGUGGUUAUACAGACACUUUGAAAAUUUUUUUGUUCAUAUCUUCAAUCACCUAAAGUGGCACAACAGUAAAACCCUCAAGCCCUCCAUCUUAUUUGCUGCAACCAUGGCACAGAAAUCAGACAGGAGACUUUAGAAUAAAAUUACUCAGAGAUUUCAUUAAAAUAUUUUAUUCCUGAGCACCCAAAGUA